rnacentral:rRNA from 1 species
AUUGAACGCUGGCGGCAGGCUUAACACAUGCAAGUCGAUCGAGCGGCGGACGGGUGAGUAAUGUCUGGGAAACUGCCUGAUGGAGGGGGAUAACUACUGGAAACGGUAGCUAAUACCGCAUACCAUCAUAUGUGCCCAGAUGCGAUUAGCUAGUAGGUGGGUUAACGGCUCACCUAGGCGCCGAUCCCUAGCUGGUCUGAGAGGAUGACCAGCGACACUGGAACAGAGAGACGGUCAAGACUCCUAGGGGAGGCAGCAGUGGGAAAUAGUGCGCAAUGGGGGCAAGACUGAUGGAGCCAAGGCGCGUGUAUGAAGAAGGACUAGGGGUUGUAAAGUAGUUUCCGCGGGUAGACGUUAACCGCAGAAGAAGCACCGGCUAACUCCGUGCCAGCAGCCGCGGUAAUAC